rnacentral:rRNA from 1 species
GACGAACGCUGGCGGCGUGCUUAACACAUGCAAGUCGAACGAAGAGCGAUGGAAGCUUGCUUCUAUCAAUCUUAGUGGCGAACGGGUGAGUAACGCGUAAUCAACCUGCCCUUCAGAGGGGGACAACAGUUGGAAACGACUGCUAAUACCGCAUACGAUCUAACCUCGGCAUCGAGGAUAGAUGAAAGGUGGCCUCUAUUUAUAAGCUAUCACUGAAGGAGGGGAUUGCGUCUGAUUAGCUAGUUGGAGGGGUAACGGCCCACCAAGGCGAUGAUCAGUAGCCGGUCUGAGAGGAUGAGCGGCCACAUUGGGACUGAGACACGGCCCAGACUCCUACGGGAGGCAGCAGUGGGGAAUCUUCCGCAAUGGACGAAAGUCUGACGGAGCAACGCCGCGUGAGUGAUGACGGCCUUCGGGUUGUAAAGCUCUGUUAAUCGGGACGAAAGGCCUUCUUGCGAAUAGUUAGAAGGAUUGACGGUACCGGAAUAGAAAGCCACGGCUAACUACGUGCCAGCAGCCGCGGUAAUACGUAGGUGGCAAGCGUUGUCCGGAAUUAUUGGGCGUAAAGCGCGCGCAGGCGGAUUGGUCAGUCUGUCUUAAAAGUUCGGGGCUUAACCCCGUGAUGGGAUGGAAACUGCCAAUCUAGAGUAUCGGAGAGGAAAGUGGAAUUCCUAGUGUAGCGGUGAAAUGCGUAGAUAUUAGGAAGAACACCAGUGGCGAAGGCGACUUUCUGGACGAAAACUGACGCUGAGGCGCGAAAGCCAGGGGAGCGAACGGGAUUAGAUACCCCGGUAGUCCUGGCCGU